UACGUAGGGGGCUAGCGUUGUCCGGAAUCAUUGGGCGUAAAGCGCGCGUAGGCGGCCAGAUAAGUCCGGUGUGAAAGUCACAGGCUCAACCUGUGAAUGCCGCUGGAAACUGUCUGGCUAGAGUCCGGAAGGGGCGAGUGGAAUUCCUGGUGUAGCGGUGAAAUGCGCAGAUAUCAGGAGGAACACCAAUAGCGAAGGCAGCUCGCUGGGACGGUACUGACGCUAAGGCGCGAAAGCGUGGGGAGCGAACAGG
rnacentral:rRNA from 1 species